GGACCAAAGACGUACAGUGUAAACAGUGACCAUGCAUGCAGUGACUGUUAAUAAUCAAACAUGGCUUAUCAAACAUAUCUACGUAUCUUGUAUACAUUUUAUCAUAUAACCUGCACAUCCCAGAAAUAACAGUCUGAGAGACAUUUGUUUGUUGCAGAAGGGGUCGAUCUGGACUCAGAACUCUGAGUGAAAUAAAGAAAAAGUAUCAAAAUAUCAAACAGAAAGCCAAGGCAAAGAGAAGCUGAUAUAUGAGACCCCCAACAGGUGGUGGACCAAGAGCCAAUUCCCAAUCUGUACCCGAGCAACUAGUGCUGGAUAAUUUGGAGGGGAGACCAAGUUUGUGUUCGGUGGUUGGCGGGAUUGACACAGAAGACUUCGUGAAUAUGUCAGAAACUGCUGAAGCCCCACAUGAUGAAGCAACAACCACUGAAGUUGAUCUGAACUCAGCUGAUGAUAUGACCUUCAGCAUCACUGACAUCACUGAUCUGGACCCAACCAGGAUUUCAAGUUCUUUUCUGUGAACCAGCUGGACAUGUGAAAGUGUCAACUGAAGAAGAAAUACUUAAAGAGGAACUAGAGAAAAUGAAGGAUUCUAGACAACGGAUUAGAGAACAAAUACGA